AGUGGGCGCUGUCGGAUUUAUUGGGCGUAAGCGAGCGCAGGCGGUUUUUUAAGUCUGAUGUGAAAGCCUUCGGCUCAACCGAAGAAGUGCAUCGGAAACUGGGAAACUUGAGUGCAGAAGAGGACAGUGGAACUCCAUGUGUAGCGGUGAAAUGCGUAGAUAUAUGGAAGAACACCAGUGGCGAAGGCGGCUGUCUGGUCUGUAACUGACGCUGAGGCUCGAAAGUAUGGGUAGCAAACAGGAUUAGAUACCCUGGUAGUCCAUACCGUAAACGAUGAAUGCUAAGUGUUGGAGGGUUUCCGCCCUUCAGUGCUGCAGCUAACGCAUUAAGCAUUCCGCCUGGGGAGUACGGCCGCAAGGCUGAAACUCAAAGGAAUUGACGGGGGCCCGCACAAGCGGUGGAGCAUGUGGUUUAAUUCGAAGCUACGCGAAGAACCUUACCAGGUCUUGACAUACUAUGCAAAUCUAAGAGAUUAGACGUUCCCUUCGGGGACAUGGAUACAGGUGGUGCAUGGUUGUCGUCAGCUCGUGUCGUGAGAUGUUGGGUUAAGUCCC
rnacentral:rRNA from 2 species